GUAAAGACUGAGAGGGACACAUUCAAGGCUCGGACCUGAGGUUCCCCACCCCUGAUUUACAUGGUCUCAAAUCACCAAGUCUGCUCAGACAUCUUUGGACCUUUGAACCCCAUUUCAUCUACAUACAGUACUGCUUUGAGCACCAGAGAUUUUGGUAGAAACCAUACUGCCAGUUUGCGUUCUUCAUCCUGCAGUGAGAGCCAGGACAAGGAAAGGGCCGAAGUGCCAGGAAGGUGUUGCAAAGGUGCAAAUGGACUAACAGAGCCAAUCCUGUGCUCCUGCUCCUGUGUUUGCAGCCCAACAAGCUACUCACCUGCCAAGAAGCGAGAACAGUGAUGCUGCUCCACCCAGCGAGCUGCUUCCAAUAUUAAUCUGGGGUGAGAUAAAUGCCCUUUGCCCUUUCUAUUUUGCACCAGGGUUGUGUGGUGGAGAGGGUGCUGGACUAGGGUCUGGGAGACUGGGGUUCAAAUCCCCACUCAGUGUACAUGAAGCUCCCUGGGGUGACCUUGGGCCAGUCACUACCUCUCAGUCUACCCAACCUCACAGGGUUGUUGUGGGGAUUAAAUGAGGAAGAGGGAGAAACAUGGGUUCUACCUUGAGCUCCUUGAAGAAGAAUGGACACAAAUACAGUGAAUAACAAAUAAAUAAUACCUCCAAGUGAACCUUGGCUUAAAUGAAGUUCUGUUCGGGCAUCAGCCGAAAUGAGACCAAAACCAGGCUCUCUGUAUUGAGAGAUCUCCCUCUGCCCCACCCCCCAAUAUUCUCACCUCUGGGAGAUCCAGCCUUGCUUUCCCUUAUUCAUAAUUCAGCCUGACGCAGCACAGCAAAAAUCAAUUCACACUUAUAAGAAAGUGCCAAGGCAAAUUACUUCCUGACGCAUCCAGUGCUGCUUUCUUAUCUGCCAAUGACUCUCUCCUGUGGAAUGUUAUGGAUACCAGGAGAGGAUAUAUUGAUUUAAUAGUAUCCUUUCUCACUCACGCUUGUGAGUCAGCAGCAUUCCCCAAUAUAUAGCAGGAAGCUAGUUGGUAGAUUCAUUUUAAUCUCUUUACUUAAGCAAUCCAAUCUGGCUUUGUCCAGAUUGGGUUUUGUUCCUGGUAAGUCCCCUUUUAUACCUCCUAAAAAGGAAUAAAGAUACAACAAUCUUCUUUAUAAGUAAUAAGAAGUUUACUCACAUUCAGUUCACAGCUGGAUCCCUGAAGGCAGGCUUUAGCUUAGAGUUACAGAAGAGAAUGUGGGUUCAUCCCAUAUGGGGAUCUGAGCCCAUGUCCUGCUGGCUGAGAGCCAGCAGACAGCAAAACACAACAGUAUCAGCAGCAGAAGAGAGAGAAUGGCAUCAAGAGAACAAUGACGGCGUGACCAGCCCCUUUUAUGGGGUCUCCCAGGGUCACGCCCAUCUACCUAGUUACAUGCAGGGGGAGGAAGCUCCAUGCCAGGUGUGACAGGAAAUCCUGGGGUGACACCCCCCUGUGUGUCCACUCUGGGUGUUGUACUUGACUGCUUAUCUUACAUCCCACAUAUCCUUGGUGCUCAGUCCUCCAUUUCAAACUGCCCCCUCUGGCUUCUAUGUGUUGUAAAAGUUGCUGGGUUCAAGCCACUGGUGGGGCAGGUGGAAAAAGCUACACCCCUGGCAUGUCCACCCCCCACCCCCCUGCUGUGCAUGGAUGCAAGUCCCCUCCGGAGGCAGCAUUUUCAUUUCCCAAGGAGUGGACAUUUGAUUCCUAUCCAUCACCAGUGACUUAAUCGCCAUGGCUUUCAAUCAGGGCAAGGUACAUCUUGACUUCUCAAAUCAGAAUCAUAGAAUUGUAGAAUUGUAGAGUUGGAAGGGACCCCAAGGGUCAUCUAGUCCAACCUGCUUCAAUGCAGGAAUCUCAACUAGAAGAUACGAGGAAGUUCCUCAAACAGCCUGACACUAUUGAGGCUCAGGAUAUGGACCUCCCUGCAGUCACAAGAGGUGAAGAGGGAGAAAUUGGUCUGGUUUGCAUCUCAUUCUCAACUGAUCUAGUUCAUAUACUCUGAGCCAAUAUGCAAACCAGAAUUUGCACUUCUCUGAAUUUCCCAGUGAAGCUCUCCAGCCAAAACUGGCCCACAAAAAUGAGCAUAUAUCAGGUGAAAAUACACACCAAAAAAUGUUUGUAUUAGUGAAAAUACUAAAGUGCAUUAUAUUAGGAAAAAAUACUGGCAAAAAUGUGUUUAUUAAGCAAAUUGGCAAAUGAAAAUACGUGUUAUAAGAAAUGGUCAUUAAAAUAUGUACAUGUUUCCCUGAGGAUUCUUUUAAAACAAACAAACAAACAAACAAAUAGCAAGGUCAUUUAUAAAUGAGAAUUGAACUUCCAAGGGGGGAAAAUGGAAUCCAAAAUUAGCAGGUUCAUCCAACGCUACCCAUGGAGGUGAGCUAGCUUCCUAGGGACUCAGUCUCCAAACCAUUCACUUCAGCACAGGCUUAAGAAGCAGAAGAGUCACAACCAGCAGUCAGGUGCGCAGUCCUGACUCCAUAGAAAGUAGACUUGCCUUCACUCUUAGACUUGAAGGCUCCUCUGUAACUACCAAAAGGCCCCUCUCAUUCAUGCUGUCAAGACCAGCGGCUGUAGAAGACAUUCCAACUAAACUACACACCUCCAUGAUAGGGCAAAGACCCCUUCAGUCCUAGGCAAUCUCCCUCUUCAUGCUGCUGCUGCUGCAGGAGAUCCUGCUCUUUUCCCACCACACUCAAUGGGCAACUGCAGCCGCGACCCUGGCCUCCUUUUAUGUCACCCUCUGCCUAAUAUCAAAACCCCUCUGCUUGGAACUCUAGCCAGCGUGUUUCUCUUGCCCCUCCUGCCGCCAGCCCCCGGAUGGGAAAGAAUAAUAAAAUGGUAAAGUUGGGAGGGAUCCAAAGAGUCAUCUAGUCCAGCCCCCUGCAAUGCAGGAAUCCAGGAAGACAAGCAGAGGCAUUCCCAGGCUUCCUUGCACCCUUGGCAAAGAGCUGUAUCAACACGCCCCCCCCCCAGCUGCCCAGACAGUCAGGCGAAUGGACUCCCAGCCACUCCCAGCCUGAAUGGAGAGGUGCGGUUUUUUGCACCCUCUGGGCCUGUGCCCUCGGCAGAGGUCAGCCUGGCCAAGCCCUAGGUACACGCCUGAAGAUAAAAGGGGAGAAGAAAGAGAGCAAAAAAGGGAGAGAGUGAAAAUGAGGGUGUUAGAAAGAGUUCUGGCUCUCACUGAAGGAUAAAGAACUCACACUCAAUAGCAAGGUUUCUGCCAAAAACUGCAGUGCUCAGAUCAGUACAGUGCAUAGGCAAAAUGGGGUUCAAGAGAAGCUAAAAGAUUGGAUCCAACAAGCGACAUCCCCCCCCCGGGUCCCAUUCUAUGGAAUGGGGUGGGCACAGCUUUAGCGCGGAACACAGGCAUGGAACACAGGGCUGCCCCCCACCGAGCCUUUGCUGGUGACACACACACACCACUGCCCCAGUAAUGAUUCUGGGUCCACUGUCAAACUAGAAUUCCACUGCUGACACCAUUUGACAACACUGGCUCCGCAGACAAACUCAAGAAAUAAACUAGAACUUUAUUCUCCCAAGCCUCCAAGACAGCAGCAACUUCUAGGCCUCUGGAACUGCCUGCAAGUUGUGACCCUAAGGCAUCACCAACUUCGUAAUGCUAAAGGAAUAUAUUUAAAAAUGAACGCUAUCAUUGCACCUCCUAAAGAAAGUAGCAGACCCUCUUUUUGCAUGGCAAUUACGUCCCAGAAGGUUGGGUAGUGCUGGGUGGGGGGAGAUAAUUUGUGCUAGCCUUAACAUCCAGAGCAUCACUAAUGCUGCACUGUUGCUAGCUUUGUCCUCUCACUGGCAUAGGAAGGGGGUUGCGGGGGGUGCAGUCCACCCUGGGUGUCAUCACUGAGGGGGUGAAAAAAUGGCAAAAAUAUGUGUUUUUACAAUAAAAAUUAAAAAUUGGGGCUCACGACACUUUUUUUUUGAAAAAAAUAUUAUUUAAUAACUAUGUCUGACAAUUAAUUCACCUCAACAAGUCAACAUAAUACGUAUUGAAACUUUUUAGUUCAGGCAACAAACACAACAAAACGCGGCUGAACUCGACACUGUGUAGUGCAGAGCGUGUGGAUAAGGAAGGGAAGGGGGUGUUUCUUUCCGCCAAAGCCUGUCUCUGCAGUUUGUUUGUUUUUUUUAUAAAAUAUUUAUUGAAGUUUGAACAUUGCAGAAAAACAGAAGUAAAACAAAAGAAAAAAAAUAAACAAUAAACAAUUACAAAACCUCAAAAACAAAAAUAAAUUCAGAAAUACAAAACAUCAACAAUACAAAAAGAAAAAGAAAGAAAACAAAAGCAUUAAAAAAGAAAAGAAAACCCCAAAAAAGAACAAACAAACAUACAAAAGAACCACAUAUUUUCAUAUCCUUAUCUUUCAUUUGCUUAUUUCCUCGACUUCCUCACACCUCCUUUUUUGUAUGCUAGUUCAAUUAAAUAUUCCAGCAAUUCCUUUCCCUCUUUCACAAAUUUAGUUCCAUGGUUUAACUUAACGCAAUUUUAGACUUGAAUUUACCUCUUUACCCAAUGUCAGUCUAUUCAUACUUAAUUCUUUAUAAUAUUUCUACUAAAGUCAUUUAACUUCUUUCCAGCAUCUUUCUAACAUUCAUUAAUUUUGGAAUAUUUCUGUAAAUAAGCUUUGAAUUUUUUCCAAUCUUCUUCCACCGACUCUUCUCCCUGGUCUCGGAUUCUGCCAGUCAUUUCCGCCAAUUUCAUGUAAUCCAUCAGCUUCAUCUGCCAUUCUUCCCUGGUAGGUAGAUCUUGUGUCUUCCAGUGCUUUGCAAUGAGUAUUCUUGCUGCUGUUGUAGCGUACAUGAAAAAAACUCUGUCCUUCUUUGGCACCAAUUGGCCCACCAUGCCCAGGAGAAAGGCCUCUGGUUUCUUUAAGAAGGUAUAUUUAAAUACCUUUUUCAUUUCAUUAUAGAUCAUCUCCCAGAAUGCCUUAAUCUUUGGGCAUGUCCACCAGAGGUGAAAGAAAGUACCUUCAGUUUCAUUGCAUUUCCAACAUUUAUUAUCAGGCAAAUGAUAAAUUAUUGCAAGCUUGACUGGUGUUAUGUACCACCUGUAAAUCAUUUUCAUUAAAUUCUCUUUUAAGGCAUUGCAUGCCAUAAACUUCAUACCAGUGGUCCAUAACUGUUCCCAGCCAGCCAUCAUAAUAUUAUGUCCAACAUCCUGUGCCCAUUUAAUCAUAGCAGAUAAAAAUAUGGAACGCUUCACGAAUUUGCGUGUCAUCCUUGCGCAGGGGCCAUGCUAAUCUUCUCUGUAUCGUUCCAAUUUUAGUAUAUGUGCUGCCGAAGCGAGCAGUUUGUACUUGAGUGAGACAACCGGUGACCCAUCAUCACUCAACCAGCAACCAAUCCUAUCCGCUGCCAUGCCGGUCAGUCACCCCAUGUCAUUCUCUUGAGUUAGUUGUGCAUGCUCACAAUGUUAAGUAAAUAAACCAGAAAAUAA